GUUAUGCACAGGCAGACGGACAGGGCCAGAUGGACUCGGUUAGUGAUACUGAUCCAAAAUAACUAUAAAUACGAGACUUUUAACAUAAUUUAACUUCCCAUUGAUGCACAGUAAAUAAUAUAUGGUUGACGAUGGAUCGCUGCUUAUUGCACUGGAGCUGGCUGUGCUGAUGUGAUAGCUGCUGGUUCCAGACGAGUCCCCCACACCGCUGGAGCCUUGGCCGUAGAAUUGCAGGGAUCCGUGGAACUUGCAGUGCUUCUUCUUUUGGCAGGCCUCGACGACAGUUUGCAGUAAGGAGUACUGAAGAUGGGAAGAACAAACACAAGAAUUAGUUUUUCUCCCGACCUAUUAUUAAUACUCCUUAUAAAGUGCAUGCACACGAAAAGGAAAAUAUAGCGAACACCUUUUCUUUUAGCUUGUAAUUAUACAUAUUCCUCGUAGAGUAAAAACAAGAAAAAGAGCAA